ensembl:lncRNA
UUUUUUUUUUUUUUUUUUUUUUUGAGACAGUCUCACUCUGUCACCCAGGCUGGAGUGCAGUGGUACAAUCUUGGCUCACUGCAGCCACCUCCUGGGUUCAAGUGACUCUCGUGCCUCAGCCUCCUGAGUAGCUCAGAUUAUAGGCAUGUGCCACCAUGCCCAGCUAAUUUUUACAUUUUUAGUAGAGUUGGGGUAUCGCUAUGUUGCCCAGGCUGAUCUCGAACUCAUGGCCUCAAGUGAUCUGCCUACCUCGGCCUCCCAAAGUCUUGGGAUUACAGGCCUGAGCCACCGUGCCUGGUCCUGACCAUUUUCUGGUUGGCAGCAGAAGAAGGGUCCCAGGUCAAACAAUGCAGUCACAUAGGCCUAUGCUCUAACUGCGCCUCCCCACACAGCUUGGUGACCCCCAGGCCAGUGACUUUGACCUCUGAAGCCUCAAUUCCCUUGACUGUAAAACAGGUCCUGACCUUGGCUGCACAUUAAAAUCACUGGGGGAGUGUUUAAAAGUCCAAAUACCAAGGGCUCACCCCAGACCAACAAAAUCAGAACCCCCUGAUGAGAUCCACUGCUGUAAGGGAAAAUAUUAUCUUCUACUCCCAGAAGUGGAAUUAAGGGAGACUAUCCGUGGAAGGUGCUUACCACCAUGCUUUACACAGAGUGUACAUAAAAGGAGACCAUGACGCAGUACCAUUCGGAGUUCCUAGACUCUAGAAACACCUCCCACAGGCCCACAGAGGGUUGUACUUGAAACUUUAUUCACUGUACUUUAUGCCCCACUUUGGUGAGUAUCAAAGAUCAAUCCUGCAUUUUGAUUUCUCUAGUUCUUUUGAUCACCCUGGUCCAGAAUCAUCUUAUUCUUCAGAGAGAAAAGGGUCAGACCCAGGAAGUGCUUCUCUGGAUUAAGGGCUGUGAGGCUAAAUCUUUGUUUCCAACUCUGCUCUCAUGGGCCUCCAAUCCCCCAUCCUAAUAAGAGAGCUGCCAUCCACAAGGGUCCUUGGCCCUUGGCUUGCAGAAGCGGGAUGAGCAUCUACAACCCUGGCUAUGAUGAAGGCUGCCCUGACAGUUACACUCUUGUAGGACAAAUAUUUCUGAGCCUGAGGUUCCUUUGCUAUGUCUCUAGUCAACAUGGGGCUUUCAGCCCUGUGGAACAUGAAGAUUUUUGUGAACUAGGGUAUAAGGAUUUAAGAGUGUGUAGGUGGGGCCUUUCCAGGCCUUGCUUCCUAGAUAGUUGAUGUAUCUGGACCCAGAACUGAGAGAAGGAACAAAACAAACAGGUGGGAUCCCUUACAGUUUAUAGUUAUGUUUUUCAAAGAGUAAUACACAUUCAGGGAAACAGAAACAGAACUUUAGCUCAAGCAGUAAGAGGGGGCAGCCAGUAUCCAAGCUGGAAGAAGAGCUAGCAGGUGACAAAGGAAGCAAGCACCCUCCAUGCAGUGUUAAGGCAGUGCUUGUCAUCCAGUGGGAACUGGGGUGCCUGGGUGCCAGGCAACAGAGCAGUUGAUGGAGACAGUUCCAGUGCCAUUAUGAGCUGCUAAAAGGAGAUCUGACGUGUGCAUUCCAGACCCUGAUACUACUUCUUGUCCAGUCAUUCAACAACAUAGUAUUCCCUAUAGACCAAGCAUGUCUGUCUAUCUAUCUGAUUUCACAACCCCAUGACAUAGGUACUGUUAUCCUCACUUUGCAGCUGAGGAGACGGAGGCACACAGAGGUUAAGUAACUUGUCCAAGGUCACACAGUUAGUAUAUGACAGAGUUGGGAUUUGAAUCCUGUGCUCUUAAUUCCUAUGCCAAAUUGUCUGUAGCCUAGUGAGGGUGUCAAACAGGUCAACAGACAAUUAGAAUAGAGUAUAGUCUAAGUGAGUGCUAGGGACUAGCACAGGUGGUGGCAUCCACAAUUCCAUUCUUAUCUGAUGCUCACUCGUAGGAAGAAAAACAGAAGAACCCACCUGGUGACAGGCUAGCAGGCACAAGAACAGGCAGAAUGUGCACCUGGAGGAUUUCACCUGGGAGAGCUGAGGAGGCACAAAGACCUGCAUGUGAGUGUUCACGGUAGCUUCAUUUGCAAUAGCCCAAAUCCGGAAACAACCGAAAUUUCUAUUAACAGGUGGAGGGAUAAAAAAAUCUGUGGCGGCCGGGCACAGUGGCUCAUGCCUGUAAUCCCAGCACUUUAGGGACCAAGGCAGGUGGAUCAUGAGGUCAGGAGUUUGAGACCAGCCUGACCACCAUGGUGAAACCCCGUGUCUACUAAAAAUACAAAAAAUUAGCCGAGCGUGGUGGCACACGCCUGUAGUCCCAGUUACUCAGGAGGCUGAGACAGGAGAAUCACUUGAACCCAGGAGUGGAGGUUGCAGUGAGUCGAGAUCGCACCACUGCACUCCAGCUUGGGUGACACAGCAAGAUUCCAUCUCAAAAAGAAAAAAAAAAUCUGUGACAUAUUCACACAAUGGAAUACAAUUCAGCCACACAAAGAAUGAACUGCUGAUCUAUACAACAUGGAUGAAUCUCAAAAGCAUCAUGCUAAGAGAAAGAAGCCAGAAGCAAAAAGAGUGUAUACUUUAUGAUUUUAUCUAUAUGAAAUUCUAGGAAAGUCAAAAUUCUAGUUUUAGAAAACACAGUUUUGCGAGGGGAUGGGGGUGGGAGGGACGAACUAACUGUGACGGGCAUGAAGGAACUUUAAGGGAUGAUGGGAAUGUUCUAUAUUUUGAUGAUGGUGAUGGCUACACUGAUGCAGACGCUCGUCAAAACUUAUUAAAUUGUACACUUCAAAAGGUGAAUUUUAUUACAUGUAAAUUAUACUCAAUUUAGAAAACAUUUUAACAAGAGACUUGAUGUCAUGCAGUCGAAACUGAAAAGUGCUGUGCUCUGAAGCUAAGAGUGAGAGUUACUUACAUUCUGCUCCCUUUACUUGUUUUUGUUCCUUGUUCUUUCUUUCCCCCUUUCCCUCUCUCUCUCUCCCUCCCACCCUCCUUUCUGUCUCUCCUCAAAGUCUACCACCUCGUUUUCCAAGCCAAGCCUAGGUGACAGGCCCCUGAGCUGCAUGCGUUUCCAGCACUGCCAUUACAAAUUAGUGGAAAUGAUCAGACCCCCAGGCAGACUGGUCCUCAGCCUGCUUCAGAGGGGCAGAUGUUCUACAAAACCAGCCAGUGACCCACCCACAGAGAAGACUGGCAAGCCCGCAAGGCUCUCACUGGACCCCUCCGUGGCUUCUGCCUCCCAGGUAGAAAGCAUGCAUAUAUUAGAUUAAAAAAGAGGAAGUGUCUUUCCAAAAACUACUCGGCUUUGGGAGGGAAGGAGGUCAUUUGUCUUUGUCCAAGAAAAACAUGUCCCUUCCUUGUAAUCCUUAAUAACCCCUGAAUUGUUUUUGUUUUCUCCAAGAUAGUUAGGGACAGGGGUAGGGGAGAGGGGCCACAGUCAGAGAGAAAAGGAGCUAGAGAGGACAGAGGAAGCAAAUGCCAUACUACUCUGUAGUGGCAGCAAGGUGAGCUCUUACCACCUUGAAUUUUGGGAAAGAUGGGAAAAGAGGGAACCCUUCACCAACCAGUGCCAACAUGCCUACCUAAGACAGCCCCCAUAUGAGGUGCAUCCCCGUUCUCGCCCGAUGAAAAGUGAACAGAGAGGUUAACGGGGCAAAGAGGCAGCAGUAAUGGGAGGAGAACGUGAGACUGGCACGGUUCCCUCCCCUGGGCCUGCAGGAGGCCCACGGCAGCCAGAAUGUCCAUCUGCUAUGCCCCACCACUAGUAGGCUCACAGGAAAGGAAGAGAACAAUGACAACCCAACUGUCCCUUGCGCAGAAGUUACACCAAGAAGUGAGCAGCAGGACCCGCUGACCUGGCAGUAAACCACAUCAGAGUUAUCAGUUGGAAACCUCUUGGACAAAGAGAGUUUAUAAAGUCCCUUGGCCAAGAGGCAUGGAAGUUGAGUUCAGCCAAGCGCAACUCAGACACAUGGGCAGUGGAAGGGGACCUGGGGAUGCCAGCUGCCAACCAAGUCCUGUUUGUUGGAAAUUGAGAGAGAUAGUAUUGGAGAACUAGAUGCUUUCACUUUUUAUUUCUCCAAAAGAGAGCUGGUCUGCAGGUAGUGAAGCCUAUAAUUCUAUAAAAAAUGGAGAUUAAAGAGAUAGGAAAGUACAACUCUGGCCCAAGACAGAAAAAAGCAAAAAGAAAAAAACAACAGGCAUCCAUAAGAGAAAAAAGUGAGCGGUUCUGGGCAUCUAGUAAGUGGAAGAGGAAAGAGACCAUCUCUAAUCCUAACUCACUCUGUUCCAGGUUUGAAAUAAAAGCUAUAUAGGGAGAAAUAGCCUGUUAAAGUAGAAUUGCCAGUGUGUAGAACUGAAAAUCAGCCAAAAAUCCAUCAGCUCUCUCAAUUUACUAAGAAAUAAUAAUUAACUCCCUAGUACCUGAUAUACUUUUGCAUUUAAAGGCUAAACUACCUAUAUCUACUCAAUAUCAUUCGCUUCUAUUCCAGUAAGACUCUUAUUGGCAGGUUUAAAGCACCCCUACCCAACCCACUAGCACCAACUUGUCUUCU